rnacentral:rRNA from 1 species
AUUGAACGCUGGCGGUAUGCUUAACACAUGCAAGUCGAACGGUAACAGGCCUUCGGGCGCUGACGAGUGGCGGACGGGUGCGUAACGCGUAGGAAUCUGCCGAUUAGUGGGGGACAACGUGGGGAAACUCACGCUAAUACCGCAUACGCCCUACGGGGGAAAGCGGGGGAUCUUCGGACCUCGCGCUAAUCGAUGAGCCUGCGUGGGAUUAGCUAGUUGGUAGGGUAAAGGCCUACCAAGGCGACGAUCCCUAGCUGGUCUGAGAGGACGAUCAGCCACACUGGGACUGAGACACGGCCCAGACUCCUACGGGAGGCAGCAGUGGGGAAUAUUGGACAAUGGGCGCAAGCCUGAUCCAGCAAUACCGCGUGUGUGAAGAAGGCCUGAGGGUUGUAAAGCACUUUUAAUCGGGAGGAAUAGCGGUCGGUUAAUACCCGGUCGUCUGACAUUACCGAUAGAAAAAGCACCGGCUAACUCCGUGCCAGCCGCCGCGGUAACAC